AUGGAGCCGCCGGCCGCCGCUGCCGAUGGGCCUCAGGUGUCUGAGGUGGACUCGUUCCGGCGCCAGGUCGACGACCUCCUCUCCAAGACCGACGUGCUCGAGAAGAGGGUGAACGAGGUGGUAGGGUUCUACAAUUCCAAGAAGCACAGCAGUGGAGGGCGCAAGGCUGGCGGCAGGUACGCGGCAAACGGUGCCAGGGACAGCCACGGCAAUGGGAUGCCCGACCUCAUGCGCCAGUUUGCCGGUAUCAUUCGCCAGAUUACAUCUCAUGAAUGGGCACAGCCGUUUUUGCAACCGGUAGACGUCGUAGGUCUUCAACUUGAUGACUAUCACCAGAUUAUAACAAAACCUAUGGAUUUCUCGACCAUCCGAAACAAAAUGGAAGGGAAGGAAAGUACCACAUAUAACAGUGUCCGAGAAAUAUAUUCUGAUGUUAGAUUAGUUUUUACCAAUGCAAUGAAGUACAAUGUUCAAGGUCACCCUGUUCACAUAAUGGCCAAGUUCCUACUUGAGAGAUUUGAGGAGAAAUGGCUUCACCUUCUCCCUAAAGUUGAGAACGAGGAAAGGGAACGGGAGGAACCAAAUGAUGCUCCAACCAUAAGCAUUUCUCCGGAAGCUGCCAUUGCAAUAUUAGCUGAAGAUACUGGUAAUGAGCUGAAUGAGAUUAAUAAGCAGCUGGAGGAGCUCCAGAAAAUGGUGGUUCAGAGAUGCAGGAAAAUGACCACGGACGAGAAGAGAAAACUCGGCGCAGGUCUUUGCCAAUUGUCUCCAGAAGAUCUUAACAAGGCGCUAGAGUUGGUCGCGCAAGACAAUCCUAGCUUCCAAACUACAGCUGAAGAAGUGGACCUUGACAUGGAUGCUCAGAGCGAGACGACCCUCUGGAGGCUGAAGUUCUUUGUGAGGGAAGCAUUGGAACAACAGGCGAAUGUAGGCGUAGUGGCCUGUGGCAAGAUCGAUGAAAACACGAAGAGGAGCCGCGACAUGUACAAUGCUCUAGCCAAGACCGUUUCGAAACGGAUUAAGAGAUAA
rnacentral:rRNA from 1 species